ACUUAAAUUGAAGAGUUUGAUCAUGGCUCAGAUUGAACGCUGGCGGCAGGCCUAACACAUGCAAGUCGAGCGGUAGCACAGAGAGCUUGCUCUCGGGUGACGAGCGGCGGACGGGUGAGUAAUGUCUGGGAAACUGCCUGAUGGAGGGGGAUAACUACUGGAAACGGUAGCUAAUACCGCAUAACGUCGCAAGACCAAAGUGGGGGACCUUCGGGCCUCAUGCCAUCAGAUGUGCCCAGAUGGGAUUAGCUAGUAGGUGGGGUAAUGGCUCACCUAGGCGACGAUCCCUAGCUGGUCUGAGAGGAUGACCAGCCACACUGGAACUGAGACACGGUCCAGACUCCUACGGGAGGCAGCAGUGGGGAAUAUUGCACAAUGGGCGCAAGCCUGAUGCAGCCAUGCCGCGUGUAUGAAGAAGGCCUUCGGGUUGUAAAGUACUUUCAGCGAGGAGGAAGGCGUUAAGGUUAAUAACCUUAGCGAUUGACGUUACUCGCAGAAGAAGCACCGGCUAACUCCGUGCCAGCAGCCGCGGUAAUACGGAGGGUGCAAGCGUUAAUCGGAAUUACUGGGCGUAAAGCGCACGCAGGCGGUCUGUCAAGUCGGAUGUGAAAUCCCCGGGCUCAACCUGGGAACUGCAUUCGAAACUGGCAGGCUAGAGUCUUGUAGAGGGGGGUAGAAUUCCAGGUGUAGCGGUGAAAUGCGUAGAGAUCUGGAGGAAUACCGGUGGCGAAGGCGGCCCCCUGGACAAAGACUGACGCUCAGGUGCGAAAGCGUGGGGAGCAAACAGGAUUAGAUACCCUGGUAGUCCACGCCGUAAACGAUGUCGACUUGGAGGUUGUGCCCUUGAGGCGUGGCUUCCGGAGCUAACGCGUUAAGUCGACCGCCUGGGGAGUACGGCCGCAAGGUUAAAACUCAAAUGAAUUGACGGGGGCCCGCACAAGCGGUGGAGCAUGUGGUUUAAUUCGAUGCAACGCGAAGAACCUUACCUACUCUUGACAUCCAGAGAACUUAGCAGAGAUGCUUUGGUGCCUUCGGGAACUCUGAGACAGGUGCUGCAUGGCUGUCGUCAGCUCGUGUUGUGAAAUGUUGGGUUAAGUCCCGCAACGAGCGCAACCCUUAUCCUUUGUUGCCAGCGGUUCGGCCGGGAACUCAAAGGAGACUGCCAGUGAUAAACUGGAGGAAGGUGGGGAUGACGUCAAGUCAUCAUGGCCCUUACGAGUAGGGCUACACACGUGCUACAAUGGCAUAUACAAAGAGAAGCGACCUCGCGAGAGCAAGCGGACCUCAUAAAGUAUGUCGUAGUCCGGAUUGGAGUCUGCAACUCGACUCCAUGAAGUCGGAAUCGCUAGUAAUCGUAGAUCAGAAUGCUACGGUGAAUACGUUCCCGGGCCUUGUACACACCGCCCGUCACACCAUGGGAGUGGGUUGCAAAAGAAGUAGGUAGCUUAACCUUCGGGAGGGCGCUUACCACUUUGUGAUUCAUGACUGGGGUGAAGUCGUAACAAGGUAACCGUAGGGGAACCUGCGGUUGGAUCACCUCCUUACCUUAAAGAA
rnacentral:rRNA from 1 species